rnacentral:misc_RNA from 1 species
GUCGGAGGUUCAGUCCUCCCAGGCCCACCACUUCGCAAUCCGCAAGGAUUGUCGGAUCUCCUCGAUAUCCGUCGGGAAACACUAUCAGGGGCCGUAGCUCAGCUGGGAGAGCGCCUGCUUUGCAAGCAGGAUGUCGUCGGUUCGAUCCCGUCCGGCUCCACCAACCAUCUUCUGUGAAGGUGGGGCGUGUCGAGUAGAGGAUGAUCGCCCGCGGUCAGUCAUUCGAAAAAGAGUUUGCGGCGCGCUUCGUGCUCUCCGCCUGUUCUGUUUGACAUCGUAAAGAGAAGAUUUGUUCGAACUUCACGGCUGCAAGGCUGUGAUUUGUCGCAAGGACGCUCAAUCCCUUGCCUAUGAUGGGUUUGCCUAACCGCGCCCUCGAACGGAUCUCGAGAAGCUGGUCUUUUUGUGCCAAUUCCAUUGAAGCAAGCCCCGCACAGGGUUUUGCUCAGGCGGCGAUCCUUCGGAUCGCGCAGAUGGGUAUUGGCAAUGAGAACGAUCAAGUGUCUUAAGGGCAAUUGGUGGAUGCCUUGGCAUGCACAGGCGAUGAAGGACGUGAUACGCUGCGAUAAGCUACGGGGAGGUGCGAAUACCCUUUGAUCCGUAGAUCUCCGAAUGGGAAAAACCCCGG